UGGCCAUAUGCAGACAUCUUUUGGUCAGUCUGGUGUGUUCUAUAGUUAUGGCCAUGGACAACUUUUGGCCAGUCCGAUGUAUUCUACAGUUGAGGCAAUGGAGCACUUUUGGCCAGUCUGGUGUAUUCUAUAGUUGUGGCAAUGGAGUGGUCAUUAUCCACAAUACCAGAACCAUCAGGCUGCGUACAUCUAGGAAGGGGCCAAAAAAUUAUAAAGCACUACAGCAGCAGCUCACCAUGGCAAUGCUGGAAAGAAAAGAUUUGUCAGUGUAGAAGAGAAAAGGCAAAGUAAAAAAUGUGAGAACUCAAACCAAGUUAGAGAUGUGGAGAGCAGGGGAAGAGAGGAGAGGAGGUGAAGGCAAACCUGAACUACUGCCUCAGCAUCCUUGCUCCCGCUCCUGCUAUGCGUGGAAGGAGAGUGUUGCGGGGCACAGGAGCUGCAUGCCGUCGCCAUUGUGCACCAGCUGCAGGUGUCGUCGCCCACCCGCUGAGGCCACUGCACGAGGGCCGUCCGCCGCACCACUGCACUGCACAAGCCGAUCUAGGAGAGAAUCGAGCCAUCACCAAUGGCCAGGUCGCGCCCGACCUCGCCGGCGCAGGCCAGCGCCAGCGGAGACCCUCUCCCAUUCAAAGCUGCACCUCCCUAUCCUCUUUCCGAAAUUUCACCCUCCUCUCCUUCCUUCUUUUCCCUCUCAUCUUCACUCUCUCCCCUGCAGAUUGAAUUGAGCGAGCGGCAGAGGAUGAGGCUGGCGGAACUGGGAAGAGGAGGGGCUCAGCGGCAGGCGCGGGAUGGAGGAAGGAAAGGGCGGCUGCGCGACGAGAAUCAAGGGAGAGAAGAGGAGGCGAUGGGAAGGCGACGAUGCAGGAGGGGAUGAGGGUCGGGAUGACGCGGGGCUCGAGGACAGGAGGCGAUUGGAGCUCGGGGACGGGAGGGGAUUGGGCUAGGCCCCGCGAGAAAGGAUGGCCCAGGCGUCAUCUGCUCAAACUGAAACCCAUGACGUGAAAUAAAAUCGACGGCCAGAUGCUUGACAGGCAGUUGAAAAGUACAUAAAUCUUUACAGCGAGGCAAAACGAGCGAUGCAGAUGGGAAGCGCGCGAGGAAGGCCCCAGAAUGGCAGGUACUCUAGCGGCUUUUAUAUGUUAGAUUUUUCUGCAACAACAUCUGUGUUGCAAAAAAGUGAAAAUGUAAAAAGAAACUAUACAACAAGACGUCUGUUGCAAAAAAUAUAUGCAACAAGACCUCUUUUGCAAAAAAUGAAUAAAAAUGCAAAAGACCUCUGCUGCUGCAAAAAAAAAAAGCAACACUAACCUCAUUGCAAAUGUUUUUGCAACAAGACUUGUCUUGCAAAAGAAAACUUGCAACAUGUCGCCAUCAGUUGCAAAAAAUGAGGACAAGGUGAGCCACACGAUACACCGGAUCUGACGACUCACAACCCGACGGAUCCUUUAAAAAGAUUCACCGACCAACGCGUACCACGUCCCUAAGAAUAUUGGGUAAAGAAUCGGGUCUAGACGCAUUCCUAAAGAGUCUAGUACCUUCGUCCCUACAAAACAAAUGUCAUAAAUUGUAGUAUUAAAAAAAAAUACUACGAACUAAAUGACCGCUGCUACAUAGGUGUGUACGCACUUUAUAAUUGAACUUUGACCAUGAAUUAGACCACUCAAAUGUGGGUCAUAUGUGACAACAAUUAUACCGUUGAAUUCAUAUUUAAAAGAAGUUUCCAUUGGUAUAAUUUUCAAGUCACAAAACUAUAUAUUAUCUGUCUAAUUUAUUAUCAAGGUUGUAUUGUGGGAUGCGUGCACACCUUAUUCAUUGAAAUAUGAAGAGUACAUGUUUAUUAAACAGGCUGGUUACAAAGAGUACACAUUUGGACACCAAAAGACAGGUGGUUUGAAGAUUUGCAUAAAGACACCAAAAUAUGAAAUUUUGCAACAAACCCUUGAAGAUCCAUGUGUCUUGCCCAACCGUCGCCUCACUCUACCGUUGCCAUGGCCUCAUUGAAGAGAGAUGGGAAAUGUUACCACACCCGACUAGAAAGAGCACAAUCGCAUGUGAUGGAGCCAAGUCUUUGUGCGACGAUCGUCGAGGAUCAUCCUCAUGUCCGCCAAAUCCAUGUGUCAUCGUCUUACUGAAAAAAAAAUUUGCCCUGCUUUAUAGAUAAAGCAACUUCCAAGCCAUACAACCGAUCGAACAAGAACAAGAAAAAGAAAUGAAACGACAAAGAUACAAGAUGCCCGCUUGACACGAACCUCGAGAGUUUGGACCUAGAGUCCGGCGGAGUGUCCGGUGCUUCUCCAGCUGCAAGCUCCAUAAGUGUAGAGAGUCCGGCAGGCUCUAGACUCCCGUCUUCGGACCUGUCGGCCUGCUCUGGAUCUAAGGCCAGAGCGGUAAUCGGGGCC